rnacentral:rRNA from 1 species
AUUGAACGCUGGCGGCAUGCCUUACACAUGCAAGUCGAUCGGUAACAGGUCUUCGGAUGCUGACGAGUGGCGAACGGGUGAGUAAUACAUCGGAACGUGCCUAGUAGUGGGGGAUAACUACUCGAAAGAGUGGCUAAUACCGCAUGAGAUCUACGGAUGAAAGCAGGGGAUCGCAAGACCUUGUGCUACUAGAGCGGCCGAUGGCAGAUUAGGGAGUUGGUGGGAUAAAAGCUUACCAAGCCGAAGGUCUGUAGCUGGUCUGAGAGGACGAUCAGCCACACUGGGACUGAGACACGGCCCAGACUCCUACGGGAGGCAGCAGUGGGGAAUUUUGGACAAUGGGCGAAAGUCUGAUCCAGCAAUGCCGCGUGCAGGAUGAAGGCCUUCGGGUUGUAAACUGCUUUUGUACGGAACGAAAAGCCCUGGGUUAAUACCCUGGGGUCAUGACGGUACCGUAAGAAUAAGCACCGGCUAACUACGUGCCAGCCGCCGCGGUAA